ensembl:snRNA U2 U2 spliceosomal RNA
AUCACUUCUCAGCCUUUUGGCUAAGAUCAAGUGUAGAAGUUGUGUAAUCCAUAGAGGGCAAUUGGAACAAGCGAAUGUCUUUAUUUUCACUCUUUCCAUCCACUUGACAGAUCCUUGAGUAUUUACUUACACGUGCAAUCAGAUGUGUACCUGGUUCUGAGAAUCCACUGCUCCCUGAAAUCAGUGAUAAAGU